rnacentral:pre_miRNA from 1 species
CAGUGCUGCUGCGGGCUCAGAGGCAGAGCUCGGGGCGCAUCCACCAUGGCCUGGACCCCUCUCCUGCUGCCCCUCCUCACUCUCUGCACAGGUGC